rnacentral:tRNA from 1 species
GGCCGCGUGGCCUAAUGGCUAAGGCGCUAGAUUUCGGUUCUUCAGCACCAAUUCUCUAGAGAUUCCAGGUUCGACUCCUGGCGUGGUCG